rnacentral:rRNA from 1 species
GGUGAGCUACCCCGAGACAGCCUAUAUUAGUUUAGGGCUAACCCGUCUCUGUGGCAAAAGAGUGGGAAGAGCUCCGGGUAGAAGUGAAAGACCUACCGAACCUGGUGAUAGCUGGUUGACUGAGAAAUGGAUAGAAGUUCAGCCUCGCACACCCCAAACCAAAAAAUAUUAUUACCAAGAUAUUAAGGGAAACGUGCGAGAGUUAGUUGAAAGGGGUACAGCCCUUUUAACAAAGGAUACAACCUUUACAGGAGGAUAAAGAUCAUAAUAUAUAAGAUAUACUGUUCUAGUGGGCCUGAAAGCAGCCACCUAAACAGAAAGCGUUAAAGCUCGGACAGAAAGAAGUUUAUUAUACUGAUAGAAAAUCUUAUUCCCCUAGCAAUAUCAGACCAACCCAUGCCUCCAUGGAAGAGAUUAUGCUAAAAUGAGUAAUAAGAAGACCCGCUCUUCUCCCAGCACAAGUGUAGACCAGAUCGGACUGACCACUGGAACUUAACGAACCCAACCCCAGAGGGUAGUGUGAUUAACAAAAAACUCAAGAAGACCUCACAUUAAUUGAUCGUUAACCCCACACUGGAGUGCUAUUUUAAGGGAAAGACUAAAAGAAGGGGAAGGAACUCGGCAAACACAAGCCUCGCCUGUUUACCAAAAACAUCGCCUCCUGCAACUAAACUGAGUAUAGGAGGUCCAGCCUGCCCAGUGACUACGGGUUCAACGGCCGCGGUAUCUUGACCGUGCAAAGGUAGCGCAAUCACUUGUCUCUUAAAUAGAGACCUGUAUGAAUGGCUAGACGAGGGCUUAACUGUCUCCCCCUUCCAGUCAGUGAAAUUGAUCUAUCCGUGCAGAAGCGGGUAUAAAUAUACAAGACGAGAAGACCCUUUGGAGCUUAAGGUACAAAAUUCAGCCACGUUAAACAACUCUAUAAGAAGCAAGAACUUAGUGAUAAUGAAAUUUUACCUUCGGUUGGGGCGACCGCGGAGGAAAAACAAGCCUCCGAGUGGACUGGGCCAAAUCCCUGAAGCCAAUAGAGACAUCUAUAAGCCGCAGAACAUCUGACCAAAAAUGAUCCGGCUAAAAGCCGAUCAACGGACCAAGUUACCCAAGGGAUAACAGCGCAAUCCCCUCCCAGAGCCCAUAUCUACGAGGGGGUUUACGACCUCGAUGUUGGAUCAGGACAUCCUAAUGGUGC